AUAUAUACUCCGUAAUCCGUAUGAUGUUUCAGCUAUCUAGCUAAGCUUUAGUGAGUUACUACCUGUAGUAAGUAUAUUAUUGGUAAUGUUAUUGCUGACUGCUGUGGACCAUAUAGUUAUUGAUUUGCUGCGUGAUGGUAAUUUGGUGGUUUUGUACUCAUGAAUGUGUGUAUGUGUGGAUACGUAUAUAUAAAGAGAUUUAUGAGGUGGUGAUGAUGAUGGAUCUUUUGAGCAAAAAAUGGUAUUGAGAUGAUUUACCUGUAUCUUGGCAGGGCAACCUGGAGUUGUUUGUGAAUAUUCGCACUCAAGCUGGGGUUUGCAGCCAUGGCAGUGCCAAGCAUUUCAAUCCUGGAAUUAUAGGGAUCUGAGCCUCAACCUCUAUAUAUUUGAUAGCUGCAUUAUCCAUUAGUAGCUCAAGUUCAAAAGGUGACCCAAGAUUAUCCCGGUUUGCAGCCAUGGUGGCUAUGGCUUCUCUUUUGCCCCCAUCAGUAACACGGAGCUGAGCCUCAAAGUAGCUCAGAAAUGGAGAGGGAAAGGGGCAACAGAGAGUUGGGUUUUUGUUGAAAGGGUGGUUGACCUUCUCUGUUCUUGCCAAUGAUUUCUCUUUAUUUCAACAGCCCUUCCGUUCAUCUGAAAAUGAAAUAGAACAGAUACACACAGAUGGAUUACAGUUUACCUUGAGAAUUGAAUGUGGUAAAAAUUAUAUCUGGAAUAUUUUAUUGCACUAACAGACAUAUAUUCUAUAGUAUUUUUCCAUGAACAAUCUCCAGGUUGGUGGUUAUGGAAGCAUAAUUUUUGGCGCCAUGAACCUACAAAUGGAGUGUUCAAUUCUCAGCUGGCAGGUUUAAAUCGUGGAAUCUCAAAAAUGCCCACAAUGCUCCAAAACAUAUUACA